GCAAGUCGAACGCUCACCUUCGGGUGGGAGUGGCAGACGGGUGAGUAACACGUGGGAACGUACCCUUUGGUUCGGGACAACUCUGGGAAACUGGAGCUAAUACCGGAUACGCCCUUUUGGGGAAAGGUUUACUGCCGAAGGAUCGGCCCGCGUCUGAUUAGCUAGUUGGUGGGGUAACGGCCUACCAAGGCGACGAUCAGUAGCUGGUCUGAGAGGAUGAUCAGCCACACUGGGACUGAGACACGGCCCAGACUCCUACGGGAGGCAGCAGUGGGGAAUAUUGGACAAUGGGCGCAAGCCUGAUCCAGCCAUGCCGCGUGAGUGAUGAAGGCCUUAGGGUUGUAAAGCUCUUUUAUCCGGGACGAUAAUGACGGUACCGGAGGAAUAAGCCCCGGCUAACUUCGUGCCAGCAGCCGCGGUAAUACGAAGGGGGCUAGCGUUGCUCGGAAUCACUGGGCGUAAAGGGCGCGUAGGCGGCGUUUUAAGUCGGGGGUGAAAGCCUGUGGCUCAACCACAGAAUGGCCUUCGAUACUGGGACGCUUGAGUCUGGUAGAGGUUGGUGGAA
rnacentral:rRNA from 1 species